UGAGUAUGUGAUUCUCGUACUUAUUUCUAGUUUUCUUUUAUGGUCCUUAUGCUUUUGAAUACUUAGUUGAGGGGAGGUGUCUAUGCAGAGGGGGAGGCUAGAAGAUCUUAUAGGAAGUGUUCUGGUUAUUAGAUUUUAGAGUGGCAAAUGGGAGUGCCAGCAGCCGCGGUAAUACUUGUUCUCUGAUUAGGGGUAAGGUGGUGUAAAAUUUGAUUUUUUUUUGUUAGGUUAGUAAAUAUUUGGCUUUGAUUUUAGUGAAAUUUGUCUUAGUUGAAUUUUUUUUUGUGUUUUUAAUAUUUUUACUUUUCAAAGGUUUAGGGUAUAAACCAGGAUUAGAUACCCUGUUAUUCCUUUUUAAACUUAAAUUUAGAUUUAAAUUUUAUCUUUUUACCGGGUUAGUAGAUUUUUUUUUUAAAAAUUGAACGUCAAAGGAUUUGGCGGUUGAAUGAUCUUUUUAGAGGGGCUCGAUUUUUAAUUUGAUGGUCCGCGUGAAACCUUACUUAUUUCUUGUUAAAUUAGUUAGUGUAUUGCCGUUUAGAUUCAGUUUUAUUAUUGAGGUAUGUUUUCUUUGGAAUUUUUUUUUCUUAAUUUCAGGUCGUAAUUCUGCUUAUGAUUUAGGGUAGAUUGAGUUACAAUUAGUUUUUUUCUAUAUAAGGAGGGAAGUUUUGUAAGUUUUCUUUUUCAAGUUUACCUACUAGAAUUUAAUAGUAAUAACUUCGGUAAAAUGGGGUUGUGAAUUUGGUCUAUUUUUCGCACAUAUCGCCCGUCGCGCUGACUUUGUUGGGAGUACUUUAAAAUCCCUUAAAAAAUUGUUGUUGGCUAAGUCGUAACAUGGUAGAGUUACGUGAACGUAACUCUGGGAGUGA
rnacentral:ncRNA from 1 species